rnacentral:misc_RNA from 1 species
AGGUGUCCGCUGCGAAAUGGGAUGCCCGGUGCCUAUGCCAUCCUCCCCCCCCACCCAUCCACGAUGGGUGGCCAGGCAUAGGCAGUCCCGGGUCGUCGGGCUUGGUGGUCGGUCCGGCGGUCUCCGACCGUCGAUCCGGUCGUCAUUCCGGCGAUCACGGGCUGGUGGGAUAGGAGGGCUGUGUUGGUCUUUUUCGAGGGGAGACGGACGGUUUAUCUCGGAUUUUGAUUUUUCCAACGUAUUUGAAGGGCAAGCGUUGCACGUCCUCGCUUGUGGAUGCGGAGAAUACCGCGGUCGGGUUAAGAUGUGGGUUUUAACCCCUCGGGGGGCACAACACUGUCUUUACUUUCUCAUUUGGCCCUCAAAAGAGAUUUUUCAAUAGUGGUUGGUUUUCAAAAAAAUAUUCAAAAUUCGUUCGUUUUCAAAAGUUUUUGACCCUGUGCCCUUGGUCUGGUGGGCUAGUAGUGCUGUGUUGAACUCUUUCCGAGGGGAGAGGGACGGUUCAUCUCGUAUUUCGAUUCUUCCAACGUAUUUGAAGGGCAAGCGACGCUCGACCUCGCUUGUGGAUGCGGAUAAUACUGCGGUCGGGUCAAGAUGCGAGUUUUAACCUCUCGGGGGAGCACAACACUGUCUUUACUUUCUCAUUUGGCCCUCRAAAGAGAUUUUUCAAUAGUGGUUGGUUUUCAAAAAAAUAUUCAAAAUUCGUUGGUUUUCAAAAGUUUUUGACCCUGUGCCCUUGGUCUGGUGGGCUAGAAGAUGCGAGUUUUAACCUCUCGGGGGAGCACAACACUGUCUUUACUUUCUCAUUCGGCCCUCGAAAGAGAUUUUUCAAUAGUGGUUGGUUUUCAAAAAAAUAUUCAAAAUUCGUUGGUUUUCAAAAUUUUUGACCCUGUCCCUUAAAGGUUAUUGUCCCUCGGAUUGUGCGUUUCUUCAUGUGAAGCGGUGCUGGUGUGGUCUUGCUUGAUGUUUCCGCAUGCUCGGCGGUUCUAGUAAUCGUUGGGUUGUGGUUCGUUCGGUUGGGUCAUCAUCAAGUGUACGCAACUCAUGUGUGAGUGGUGGUCGGAUGGCAUGGGUCUGCAAGCUCCUUGCUCAGCGCAACGAAUUGUAAACUCUCCAUCCUUUUCAUAGUCUUCCCCAAGCAUGGUCAUUUGCCUUGUGGGUAAGAUCGGUAUCCUGUGUUUUUUACCAAUUGAAUGGAAUUCGAUUGUUUUCAUUUCUCUAUUCGCCCGGUUCCCUUAGGGGUGUUGGGCGGACGGUAGGCUGACUCCGUGUUCCAGGUACAUCUCGCAUUUUUGUGUGGUUACCGUGGCCCAUGGGGUUAUGCUUGUUCUCUCGGAUGCGGAUCGUUAGUUGUGGGCGAGGGGUUACGACCUCCAUUCGUCCAAGCUAUUAUGCAUUUGUCAAUCGGCACGGACGACUGCUGCACUCGUCUUGGCCUUUACAGUUGAAUGGCUGUACAGUGUCCAUGCGAGUGUCGGUGUCGUGAAGGAAUGC